UUUGGGUAACCUCUCGGGGUUACAGCCUUGCUGAAUUAUUCACCCUUGUCUUUUGCGUACUUCUUGUUUCCUUGGUGGGUUCGCCCACCACUAGGACAAACAUAAACCUUUUGUAAUUGCAAUCAGCGUCAGUAACAAAUUAAUAAUUACAACUUUCAACAACGGAUCUCUUGGUUCUGGCAUCGAUGAAGAACGCAGCGAAAUGCGAUAAGUAGUGUGAAUUGCAGAAUUCAGUGAAUCAUCGAAUCUUUGAACGCACAUUGCGCCCUUUGGUAUUCCAAAGGGCAUGCCUGUUCGAGCGUCAUUUGUACCCUCAAGCUUUGCUUGGUGUUGGGCGUCUUGUCUCUAGCUUUGCUGGAGACUCGCCUUAAAGUAAUUGGCAGCCGGCCUACUGGUUUCGGAGCGCAGCACAAGUCGCACUCUCUAUCAGCAAAGGUCUAGCAUCCAUUAAGCCUUUUUUCAACUUUUGACCUCGGAUCAGGUAGGGAUACCCGCUGAACUUAAGCAUAUCAAUAAGCGGAGGAAA
rnacentral:rRNA from 1 species